GACGAACGCUGGCGGCGUGCUUAACACAUGCAAGUCGAACGGAAAGGCCCUGCUUUUGUGGGGUGCUCGAGUGGCGAACGGGUGAGUAACACGUGAGUAACCUGCCCUUGACUUUGGGAUAACUUCAGGAAACUGGGGCUAAUACCGGAUAGGAGCUCCUGCUGCAUGGUGGGGGUUGGAAAGUUUCGGCGGUUGGGGAUGGACUCGCGGCUUAUCAGCUUGUUGGUGGGGUAGUGGCUUACCAAGGCUUUGACGGGUAGCCGGCCUGAGAGGGUGACCGGCCACAUUGGGACUGAGAUACGGACCAGACUCCUACGGGAGGCAGCAGUGGGGAAUAUUGCACAAUGGGAGGAAGCCUGAUGCAGCAACGCCGCGUGCGGGAUAACGGCCUUCGGGUUGUAAACCGCUUUCGCCUGUGACGAAGCGUGAGUGACGGUAAUGGGUAAAGAAGCACCGGCUAACUACGUG
rnacentral:rRNA from 1 species